UCGGGAAUUUUGGGCAAUGGGCGAAAGCCUGACCCAGCAACGCCGCGUGAAGGAUGAAGUAUUUCGGUAUGUAAACUUCGUAAGAAUAGGAAGAAUAAAUGACGGUACUAUUUGUAAGGUCCGGCUAACUACGUGCCAGCAGCCGCGGUAAUACGUAGGGACCAAGCGUUGUUCGGAUUUACUGGGCGUAAAGGGCGCGUAGGCGGUUUGUCAAGUCAGUUGUGAAAUCUCCGAGCUUAACUCGGAACGGUCAACUGAUACUGUCAAACUAGAGUACAGAAGGGGCAAUCGGAAUUCUUGGUGUAGCGGUGAAAUGCGUAGAUAUCAAGAGGAACACCUGAGGCGAAGGCGGGUUGCUGGGCUGAUACUGACGCUGAGGCGCGAAAGCUAGGGUAGCAAACGGGAUUAGAUACCCAAGUAGUCCCUGAGCGGGCUGGCAAGGCGCAU
rnacentral:rRNA from 1 species